rnacentral:rRNA from 1 species
GACGAACCAUGCAAACGUUAUUCGGAAUUACUGGGCUUAAAGCGUGCGUAGGCGGCUCAGAAAGUUGGGUGUGAAAUCCCUCGGCUCAACCGAGGAAUUGCGCCCAAAACUACUGGGCUCGAGGGAGUUAGAGGUGAGCGGAACUCACGGUGGAGCGGUGAAAUGCGUUGAUAUCGUGAGGAACACCGGAGGCGAAAGCGGCUCACUGGGGCUUAUCUGACGCUGAGGCACGAAAGCUAGGGGAGCAAACGGGAUUAGAUACCCCGGUAGUCCUAGCCGUAAACGAUGAGCACUGGGUCGAGGGGACCCACACAUCCCCCCGGCCGUAGCGAAAGCGUUAAGUGCUCCGCCUGGGGAGUAUGGUCGCAAGGCUGAA